GGCUGGCAAGCUCAGGCUUCGGAGAGACUCAGUACGGAUUACAGAGGCGUCUGAUGGAGGCGCUGAUCUGAAGAAGAGCAGAAUGAAGCUGCCGAGUACAAAUCGAAGAAACCGUCAAAACCCAAGAUUAUUACACACCGCAGAGGCUCUAAGGUAAAACAUGAUCUGUAUGGAUUUAUUUUAUUUUUAUUUG
rnacentral:lncRNA from 1 species